UGUUUUCAAUUUUCAUCAUCCUUUUCUGAUUUAUUCUUUCUCUGAAUUUUCGGUCUCCUUUUCUUCAUGCAUUGCCAUAAGCAUAUCGUAGCUGCAUUAUGUUGCGGGUGAAAGAAACGAGAACAUUGCCACUAGGGUUCUUUUUUCUCUGCAUUUCGUGAUGCCCUUGGUAAUGUGAAGCAGAACGGUGGCAGAGAAGAAGCUAUCCAUGUAGUGAAAGAACAAACACUGCAUCACCUCUCUCGCCUCUUCAAGGAUUUCAAGGCCUCUGCUAUCGCUACAUAAUGAAAUUGGAAUGGAUCCACUAGUCAUUAGAGUAAGGGCAGUGCCUGGGCUUGUUGCUGCGGAUAACUUUGCUCUUUGGUCAGUGUUAAUUCAAAAUUUGGCAAAAAUUGGAUAUGAAGGGAAGAACGUGUACAUGGCUUCCUAUGAUUGGAAACUUUCUUUCGAAAAUACUCAGGUUCAAUUAUUAUUUCAAGAGUAAACCUACAAUUAUAAUCUCUGGAGAGGUACAAAGAUUGAUGGACGCUAGCGAUAGUUAGACUUGUUGGAGACCCAAUACUGAAGGCAUCCUGACUCUUGAGGUUGGUGCAGUUUCUUUUUUUCUUUUUCUUUUUUUACUUUAGUCAUGAUUUCUCAUUGUUCAUUUUCUGUGCAUAUUAAAUAAAAAAUGUUUUGCUCCUUUAAAAAGUCAUUCAUAAAAAUUUAUUUCCACAUUGGAAUUUGGAAAGAAUGAUGGAUAUCAAUGUGGCUAGAAUCAUUUUUGAGAUAAGCAUAAUGGUUGAUCUUACGAGCAUGGUAGAACAGUGGGAUUAUAUUCAUGACUCUUUUGAAUAUGUUAAAAGAAAUGCUAUACACUCAAAUGUUUGAAUGUUAAGAAGCAUGGUAUGCAUGUCAUUCAUAACACGGUCUAUGUAGAACUUUGUUGCAAAGGAUUUUACAUAGAUGGUUUCAAGUCCGGAAAAAAGAGGAGGAUGAAUGAUGGACCCAAUUUAUGAUCUUAAAAAUUGAGAUAUGACAUCUUGGACCCAAUUUGAAAUAAAGGAGGAUGAAAUACAUUGCUUUUAUGAUAUGAAAAAAAUGUGGCAUGAUGCACAUAAUCCGAUUGAUCUAAAAAGAUAGUUAUGAUCUCAAAGAUUGAGAUAUGACAUACUUGGACCCAAUUUAAAAUAAAGGAGGAUGGUAUACGUUGUUUUUAUGAUAUGAGAAGGCGGCGUGAUGUACUUGAUCUAAUUGAUCCAAAACGAUAGGUUUAAAGAUCUCAAAAAUUGAGAUCUAACAUACUUGGACCCAAUUUGAAAUAAAGGAGAAUGCUAUACGUUGCUUUUAUAAUAUGAGAACAAGGUGGCAUGAUGUACUUAACCCAAUUGAUCCAAAACGAUAGCUUUUAUGAUCUCAAAGAUUGAGAUAUGGCAUAACAAUUUGAAGUAAAGGAGGAUGGUAUUGUUUUUAUGAUACGAGAAGAAGCUGGAAUGAUGUACUUGACCCAGUUGAUCUAAAAAGAUGGCUUUUAUGAUCUUAAAGAUUGAGCGAUGACAUACUUGAACCCAAUUUUAAUACAUUGCUUUUGAUAAAAAAAUGAUAGCUUUUAUGAUCUCAAAAUUUGAGAAAUGACAUACUUGACCCAAUACGAAAUAAAGAAAGAUGGUAUAUGUUGCUUUUAUGAUAUGAGAAGAUGGCAUGAUGUACUUAACCAAAUUGAUUCAAAAGUUAGUUUUUAUGAUCUUAAAAAUUAAGAGACGAUGUACUUGGACCCAAUUUUAAAUUAAUGAAAUUAAAAAGGAUGGUAAAUGUUGCUUUUAUGAUACGAGAAGAAGGUAGCCUGAUGUUCACGAUCCAAUUGAUCCAAAAUGAUAGCUUUUAUGAUCUCAAUAGUGGCGUGAUGUACUUGACCCAAUUGAUCCAAAACGAUAACUUUUAUGAUCUCAAAGAUUGAGACAUGUCAUACUUACACCUAAUAUGAAGUA